rnacentral:rRNA from 1 species
CCUACGGGAGGCAGCAGUGGGGAAUAUUGCACAAUGGGGGAAACCCUGAUGCAGCGACGCCGCGUGAGUGAAGAAGUAAUUCGUUAUGUAAAGCUCUAUCAGCAGGGAAGAAAAUGACGGUACCUGAGUAAGAAGCCCCGGCUAACUACGUGCCAGCAGCCGCGGUAAUACGUAGGGGGCAAGCGUUAUCCGGAUUUACUGGGUGGAAAGGGAGCGUAGACGGCAGUGCAAGUCUGGAGUGAAAGGCGGGGGCUCAACCCCCGGACUGCUCUGGAAACUGUACGGCUGGAGUGCAGGAGAGGUAAGUGGAAUUGCUAGUAUAGCGGUGAAAUGCGUAGAUAUUAGGAGGAACACCAGUGGCGAAGGCGGCUUACUGGACUGUAACUGACGUUGAGGCUCGAAAGCGUGGGGAGCAAACAGGAUUAGAUACCCCAGUAGUC